GUUGAACGCUGGCGGCAUGCUUUACACAUGCAAGUCGAACGGCAGCACGGGUGCUUGCACCUGGUGGCGAGUGGCGAACGGGUGAGUAAUGCAUCGGAACGUGCCCAUGAGUGGGGGAUAGCCCGGCGAAAGCCGGAUUAAUACCGCAUACACCCUUAGGGGGAAAGCGGGGGAUCUUCGGACCUCGCGCUAUUGGAGCGGCCGAUGUCGGAUUAGCUAGUAGGUGAGGUAAAGGCUCACCUAGGCGACGAUCCGUAGCUGGUCUGAGAGGAUGAUCAGCCACACUGGGACUGAGACACGGCCCAGACUCCUACGGGAGGCAGCAGUGGGGAAUUUUGGACAAUGGGCGCAAGCCUGAUCCAGCCAUGCCGCGUGAGUGAAGAAGGCCUCGGUUGUAAG
rnacentral:rRNA from 1 species